GAUGAACGCUGGCGGCGUGCCUAAUACAUGCAAGUCGAGCGAACAGACGAGGAGCUUGCUCCUCUGACGUUAGCGGCGGACGGGUGAGUAACACGUGGAUAACCUACCUAUAAGACUGGGAUAACUUCGGGAAACCGGAGCUAAUACCGGAUAAUAUAUUGAACCGCAUGGUUCAAUAGUGAAAGACGGUUUUGCUGUCACUUAUAGAUGGAUCCGCGCCGCAUUAGCUAGUUGGUAAGGUAACGGCUUACCAAGGCAACGAUGCGUAGCCGACCUGAGAGGGGGAUCGGCCACACGGGAACUGAGACACGGUCCAGACGCCUACGGGAGGCAGCAGUAGGGAAUCGUCCGCAAUGGGCGAAAGCCUGACGGAGCAACGCCGCGUGAGUGAUGAAGGUCUUCGGAUCGUAAAACUCUGUUAUUAGGGAAGAACAAAUGUGUAAGUAACUAUGCACGUCUUGACGGUACCUAAUCAGAAAGCCACGGCUAACUACGUG
rnacentral:rRNA from 1 species